rnacentral:rRNA from 1 species
UACGUAGGGGGCGAGCGUUGUCCGGAAUCAUUGGGCGUAAAGCGCGUGUAGGCGGCCCGGUAAGUCCGCUGUGAAAGUCCAGGGCUCAACCCUGGGAUGCCGGUGGAUACUGUCGGGCUAGAGUCCGGAAGAGGAGUGUGGAAUUCCGGGUGGAGUGGUGAAAUGCGUAGAGAUCCGGAGGAACACCAGAGGCGAAGGCGGCCUGCUGGGCUGCACCUGACGCUGAACCGCGAAAGCCAGGGGAGCGAACGGG